CCUACGGGAGGCUGCAGUGAGGAAUAUUGGUCAAUGGACGAGAGUCUGAACCAGCCAAGUAGCGUGAAGGAUGACUGCCCUAUGGGUUGUAAACUUCUUUUAUAUGGGAAUAACAUGUUCCACGUGUGGGAUUUUGUAUGUACCAUAUGAAUAAGGAUCGGCUAACUCCGUGCCAGCAGCCGCGGUAAUACGGAGGAUCCGAGCGUUAUCCGGAUUUAUUGGGUUUAAAGGGCGCGUAGGUGGAUUGUUAAGUCAGUUGUGAAAGUUUGCGGCGCAACCGUAAAAUUGCAGUUGAAACUGGCAGUCUUGAGUACAGUAGAGGUGGGCGGAAUUCGUGGUGUAGCGGUGAAAUGCUUAGAUAGCACGAAGAACUCCGAUUGCGAAGGUAGUUCACUGGACUGCAACUGACACGGAGGCUCGAAAGUGUGGGUAUCAAACAGGAUUAGAUACCCCAGUAGUC
rnacentral:rRNA from 1 species